rnacentral:rRNA from 1 species
GAACGCUAGCGGCAGGCUUAAUACAUGCAAGUCGAGGGCAGCAUGAAGUAGCAAUACUUUGAUGGCGACCGGCAAACGGGUGCGGAACACGUACACAACCUUCCUUUAAGUGGGGAAUAGCCCAGAGAAAUUUGGAUUAAUACCCCGUAACACAACGAAGUGGCAUCACUUUGUUGUUAUAGUUUCGACGCUUAAUGAUGGGUGUGCGUAUGAUUAGAUAGUUGGCGAGGUAACGGCUCACCAAGUCUACGAUCAGUAGCUGAUGUGAGAGCAUGAUCAGCCACACGGGCACUGAGACACGGGCCCGACUCCUACGGGAGGCAGCAGUAAGGAAUAUUGGUCAAUGGACGCAAGUCUGAACCAGCCAUGCCGCGUGAAGGAUUAAGGUCCUCUGGAUUGUAAACUUCUUUUAUUUGGGACGAAAAAAGGCCUUUCUAGGUCAACUGACGGUACCAGAUGAAUAAGCACCGGCUAACUCCGUG